rnacentral:rRNA from 1 species
UACGUAGGGUGCAAGCGUUGUCCGGAAUUAUUGGGCGUAAAGAGCUCGUAGGCGGUUUGUCGCGUCGAAUGUGAAAACCCGGGGCUCAACCCCGGGCCUGCAUUCGAUACGGGCAGACUAGAGUUCGGUAGGGGAGUCUGGAAUUCCUGGUGUAGCGGUGAAAUGCGCAGAUAUCAGGAGGAACACCGGUGGCGAAGGCGGCAUCCUGGACCGGCAUUGACGCUGAGGCGCGAAAGCCAGGGGAGCAAACGGG